ACUGUCGUUCUCUUGGGGUUGCACUACUGUCCACUGAGCACAUAGUGAGGGCAGUACUGCUAACACCUACACAACACACGCAUCAAUUAAAGCUUUGCUGUAUAUUGGUGCAAUUUUUGGACAA